CGAGGGGGCUCCCGGCCCGGCCGCCCCCGGGGAGCCCCGCCGCGGGGACUGCGCUAAUUAAGUGGUGGUGGAGAGGCGGGGGCCUGGCCUCGCCUUCCCCGCCGGCGGGGAGAACCGAGGGGGUUUAGCGCGUCUGCUUUUUUUUUUUUUUUUUUUUUUUUUUUUUUUUUUUUUUUUUUUUUCCCCCUCUCUCUCUCCUUGUCGUUCCUGCAGGGAAAGGACGAGCGUGCUUGUCAGGACGGUGAGACCGAGUUUCCUCUCUGCAAAGGGGGGCCGGAAAAAAUGUGAAUAUUGGAACCGGCGCUCGCGUCACUUCAAGGUCAAUGGUCUGUAAUGUAAGAGGCCCAGAUUCCCUUCCGAGCCGUGGCAUAAAGCAAGUCAUGUGUCUGACGGAUGUAUCACGUUGUCUGUCUCAUUUAUUUUUCCCAUCAGUGUUCUGUUCUGAGUAAAUAAAGUGUAAAAUAAGCUUGUCUUACUUGAGUAACAUUUCAUAAAUCAUACUUGGAUGUGUUAAGCAGAAAAAAUACGUUACUCAUUUUAUAUAGAAAAUUGGACCUGUAAGUGGAAAUGAAGGGGUGUCUCAAAAACAAGCAGCACUUUAAUUAUUUAAUUUUGGCAAUACCCUUGUCUUACAAGCAAGUGUUCUUGAACAGAACAGAUGAAUAACCCACGGAUGGAUGAGUGUAAUCCAUUCAUUUGUGUGUGAAGCCAAAGUCAUUCAGAAUUCAAAUGACAUCAAAAAUCCAAGCAAUGAUCAGAAGUGUAUUUGACAGUAUACUACAGGAAGCCAAAAUAACACAGCAAAUGGUUUAACAAAUGGACUGACGAGGUCCUUUCAUCUCCAUCUUCCCUGAUUUUAUAUUUGAGCCCUUCUGUUGGCUGAAGCUGGUCAAAACCAACGGGCAAUUGUGUAUUAAGUGUGUGCAUGAGGAAGUACCAGUAUCAGAUUAAGAUGAACGGAUGUAAAUUCCCCAGUUGACUGGCGAGUCAUUUUUUUCAGUUGUUGGAGCAUAUUCACAGGGUAGUCUGUUUUAGCGUCCCUUGCAGAGAAAAGGAGAAUUUUGGAUAUCCUUUCUAUGAUGUAAAUUAUUACUCUCUUUGGCACUGUGCAUUUCUUCAGUGGUAAUCUGCCUUUUAUGAAUUUAUACUAACUAGGCAUAGACUUAUCCAGUUCUCUAGUUUUACAGAAAAAUCCUUACGUAGCAUUGUGUUAAUCAACUAGAUACAGCACUGUUGUCACUGUGUACUACUUGGCUUACUGUUUUUCAUUUUCAGUGCAUUUGACCCCAUAUACUAUGAUGUAACGGAAAAAAUAUAUGUGUGUGUGCAUGUGCAUAUACAUACACACACAAAUAUCUGUGACUAAUAAGUGUCUUUAUUUGCCAGCUAUGUAAAAUGAGCAGCUAAGGGGAUUUAAUUUCUGAUAUCAAAUAACCAACUAUGUAAUUUGCUACUGAUGGUUUCAGAAGAAAGAGUGAGAUAACUUACUAAGAAAAAUGGUGUGCUUCCUAGUCAGAAGUCGCUGCCUUAAAGAUGCAAAAAGUUAUAUAUUAAAUAAUAUUUGAAAUGUGUCUUCAAAACUAGCACACCUUUUUCCUCAAGAGCUUCUGCUGUAGGUCAUUUUCCUAUGGUUAUUCAGGGGCUUGUAAAUUUUGGGAAAGAACUGUCCUUCUCUGUACCUUCUACAGAGUAACUCAGCAAGUUCCAGGUGCUUAACAAAUAACGCACAUCCUUGCUGAGGCACUUAAGUGUCAUGGCCAGCAAUCUUUAUCUAAUGUUAGUGAUCUCUGAGGAAACACGAUCGCUCCUUGUGGGUUUUGACUGGUAUGUAGGCAACAGAAAGAGCAGCCAGUGCACAGAAUUGAUGACCUAGCAGCUAGUCUCAUUAAGUCAGAUUGUACCCUGAUUUACUUACUCUGAAAUCUUAAUGGUCUCAGUGAGGUUAGAAUUCACUGUGUGUACCAUCAGCCUAACUAUGAAAGCAGAAAAUUUGCACUACCAUCGAGCAGAUGUAGUUCUUCCUAAUGAACUAACUAAUGGAGAAGAAAAAAAAAAAAAAAAAAAAAAGAGGUAAUGCCAAGCUUGUGUCUGCUGGCACUUGGU